rfam:Gossypium hirsutum cultivar TM-1 chromosome 11, whole genome shotgun sequence
UGUUAAAAAUGUCAUUCAUUUAUGCUGUUAAAAAUAGACUGACUGACUAAAUAAUCAAACAGUAACAUAUGGUGUUCUAUGUGUAUCUCAUACUGACAUAUAUUGACCAAUUUUUAAAAGUGGAAAUAAAUGAAAUUUUUAACA